AUAAUACUCCCUCCGUCCGGAAUUACUUGUCAUCAAAAUGGAUGUGUCUAGAACUAAAAUACAUCUAGAUACAUCCANAAAUACAUCUAGAUACAUCCAUUUCAAUGACAAGUAUUUUCGGACGGAGGGAGUAGUAG
rnacentral:pre_miRNA from 1 species